GGCUUAAUUUAACUCAACAUAGGAAACCUCACUUAGGCUGGAAGUGGAUUGACUGAUCACCCUCUCUGGCUGGAGGCUCAUGCUGUUGGUAGCUGACGUCUCUGGUGAGGCCAACAACAAACAAGUUUUUCACUUAGCAAAUAGUAAACGAUCCUGUGCAGAUGAGGUCUGACUCCUUUGAGACCAGUGGUCCUCAGUCACAAUAGACUGAGCAACAACAAGACCGUGAUGACCUUAAUGUCCAGGACUGCUCAAAGAGUGGACCGGCAUGAGUCUUCCCUUUACCCAAAGGUGUGGGCAAAAACCUGCAUAAGAACUCAUAAUGGAAAUUGGCAUUGCAAUUAUUGGUUGCCGGUGAU
rfam:Poecilia formosa, whole genome shotgun sequence.